AGCUCCCUGAGGUGGCCAAACCACAAGUGAGGGUCAUCCCACUGCAAGCAGUGCCCUCAGUGACAAGGCACGGGCCCACAGGACGCACACUCAGUGGGCAGGGUGCUGGCAAGAGCGCACAUCACAUCAGCAGUCCCAGAGAAGCUGAGGUGAUGAACCAGAACCAUCCAGGAAGAAGACUUUCUUGUCAUCUUGGUGUAGAUUCUAAAGAGCUCUUCCCUGCAAAUAUAAGUUCUCACUAAAGAAGGUUGUUUUAUCAGAAGAACAAAGGAUGUUGACCAUAACAAUUACAGCAGCAUUAAAAAAAAACAAGGGCCUGGGCUAUCUGCAUGACAA